GACGAACGCUGGCGGCGUGCCUAAUACAUGCAAGUUGAGCGAUGAAGCUUGGUGCUUGCACCAAUUUGAAGAGCAGCGAACGGGUGAGUAACGCGUGGGGAAUCUGCCUUUGAGCGGGGGACAACAUUUGGAAACGAAUGCUAAUACCGCAUAACAACUUUAAACAUAAGUUUUCAGUUUGAAAGAUGCAAUUGCCUCACUCAAAGAUGAUCCCGCGUUGUAUUAGCUAGUUGGUGAGGUAAAGGCUCACCAAGGCGAUGAUACAUAGCCGACCUGAGAGGGUGAUCGGCCACAUUGGGACGGAGACACGGCCCAAACUCCUGCGGGAGGCAGCAGUAGGGAAUCUUCGGCAAUGGACGAAAGGCUGACCGAGCAACGCCGCGUGAGUGAAGAAGGUUUUCGGAUCGUAAAACUCUGUUGGUAGAGAAGAACGUUGGUGAGAGUGGAAAGCUCAUCAAGUGACGGUAACUACACAGAAAGGGACGGCUAACUACGUG
rnacentral:rRNA from 1 species